rnacentral:lncRNA from 1 species
CCGAGACAAGGCUGAAGGGCAGAGGCCAAGGAACUUCGUAAGACCGAUGUCAACGAGCUUCUCAUCAAGAUAGCCGAAAGUGAAUGACUUCGGGUCAUGCAAGAGUGCACGACCAAGGAACGAAGCAGGCAGUACGCGGUGUUGUACCUUUGCUACUCAGUGGAGUAGGCGGCAGGGUUGAUGGAGAAGACGGUACAAUCUCAGAGGCGACCAAAUCUAUUAGAGAAUUACUCCAAGUUGGGAUGAAAACUUCC